ACCUGAGCGAAUUAGCGUCCAGAAACCUUGACCACGUGAUUCCCCCCGCCCUCACAGUGACUGAAGAUCAGUGCAGGGGGAUACAGGUCGAAGGCUUAAGUUUCUGCAUUAUCAUUGUUUCUGGACUGUUUAAAGAUCGCCUUUUGGACAAAGUGUUGUGUGUGAAUGCAAAAAAAAACCACAACCACGACCAAACCAUCUGUUGAGUGGUGACAAUAAAUGGGUUAUUCCCAGAAAAGUG